rnacentral:rRNA from 1 species
GUGCUCCUUGAUGCCCAGGGGUUGUGGUGCGCUGUGGCAUCGGCGGAGGGCGCGGCGGUCGACACCUGCAAGAGAAAGACGGCGAGGGCCAUGAUCCUGGGGGCUUUUUCGGAGGAGAUCUUGUUGCAGGUGUCGACGAAGCCAACCGCGAAGGAGGUAAGGGACUCCCUCAAGGUUCGCUUCGUUGGCGCCGAUCGGGUGGGGGCGGCGAGGCUCGCGACGCUGCACGGCAAGUUCGAUCGCCUUCUAAUGGACGAUGGUGGCGAGCUAGACGCGUACGCCGGGAAGGUGAGCAACAUGGCGGCCAGGUACGCGGGGCUUGGUGCAGUGCUUGACGAUGCCGCGAUGGUCAAGAAGCUGCUCGACACCAUGCCAGACCGGCUGUACGCGUCGGUGGCUGGCAUCGAGCAGUUCUGCAACGUCGAGCAGAUGCUCUUUGAGGAGGCACUUGGGCAUCUGAAGGCUUUCGAGGAGCGUACGCGGCGGCGGGCGCAGGCCCGCAGGGAGUGGGCGGGCGAACAGCUCAUGCUCACCGCGACUCAGUGGGCGGCGCGGCGUCGACAGCAAGGCGGGCGCGGCAUCGGCGACCAUGACGACGACGAAGCAGCAAGCACAACAUCAGACAUCGGAGAGAAGCGGCGAGGACGCUGCUACAACUACGGUGAGCGAGGGCAUUUCAAACGGGAGUGCCCGAAACCGUGGAAGGCGCAGGCGCUUCUCGCCGAGGCCAAUGUCGAGUACUACGGGUUCCUCUAG